UGGGGAAUAUUGGACAAUGGGCGAAAGCCUGAUCCAGCAACGCCGCGUGAGUGAUGAAGGCCUUAGGGUUGUAAAACUCUUUCAGUAGGGAAGAUAGUGACGGUACCUACAGAAGAAGCUCCGGCUAACUUCGUGCCAGCAGCCGCGGUAAUACGAAGGGAGCUAGCGUUACUCGGAAUUAUUGGGCGUAAAGAGUGCGUAGGCGGUUUGCUAAGUUGAGAGUGAAAUCCCGGAGCUUAACUCCGGAACUGCUUUCAAAACUGGCAUACUAGAGUUCGGUAGGGGAUGGUGGAAUUCCUAGUGUAGUGGUGAAAUACGUAGAUAUUAGGAGGAACACCGGUGGCGAAGGCGACCAUCUGGGCCGACACUGACGCUGAUGCACGAAAGCGUGGGGAGCAAA
rnacentral:rRNA from 1 species